rnacentral:rRNA from 1 species
GAAAGUAAAUAAGGGCGCAUGGCGGAUGCCUUGGCUCUCGGAGGCGAUGAAGGACGUGAAAAGCUGCGAUAAGCUUUGGGAAGGUGCAAAUGACCUUUGAUCCAGAGAUUUCUGAAUGGGACAACCCAAUAUCUUGAAGAGGGAUUAUCCAACGUUGUUGGAGGCUAACGCAGGGAACUGAAACAUCUUAGUACCUGCAGGAAAAGAAAAUAAACAAUGAUUCCCCCAGUAGUGGCGAGCGAACGGGGAACAGCCCAAACCAUCCAUGUUACGGCAUGGGGGGGGGUGUAGGACUACGCCGUUGCAUGAAGACAUCAGAGAAGAACUUUCUGGAAAGAAAGACCAUAGAGCAUGACAGUUGCGUAUUCGAAUGUUGUCGAAGCAUAGUAGUAUCCUGAGUAGCGCGGAGCACGAGGAAUUCUGCGUGAAUCUGCCGGGACCAUCCGGUAAGGCUAAAUACUCCCGAGAGACCGAUAGCGAACCAGUACCGUGAGGGAAAGGUGAAAAGCACUUCGAACAGAAGAGUGAAAUAGUUCCUGAAACCGUGCGCCUACAAGCGGUCGGAGCUCGUUAAUGAGUGACGGCGUGCCUUUUGCAUAAUGAACCUACGAGUUGCCUUUGCCGGCAAGGUUAAGUGUGACGACACACGUAUCCGAAGCGAAAGCGAGUCUGAACAGGGCGUAUAGUCGGCAGUGGCAGACGCGAAACCAAGUGAUCUACCCUUGGCCAGGUUGAAGGCUGGGUAACACCAGCUGGAGGACCGCACCAAUAAGCGUUGAAAAGCUUCUGGAUGAGCUGAGGGUAGGGGUGAAAGGCUAAUCAAACUUGGAGAUAGCUCGUACUCCCCGAAAUGCAUUUAGGUGCAGCCUUGCGGGUUACUGAUGUGAGGUAGAGCGACUGAUAAGAUGCGAGGGCUUCACCGCCUAUCAAGUCUUGACAAACUCCGAAUGCGCAUCAGUUCUACCGCAGGAGUGAGGGCAUGGGUGCUAAGGUCCGUGCCCGAGAGGAGAAGAAUCCGGACCACCUGCUAAGGUCCCGAAAUGACAGCUAAGUUAAACUAACGAAGUCUGACUGCUAAGACAGCUAGGAUGUUGGCUUGGAAGCAGCCAUUCAUUUAAAGAGUGCGUAACAGCUCACUAGUCGAGGAGUCGGGCGUGGAUAAUAAUCGGGUAUCAAGUUGUCUACCGAAGCAGUGGGAUCAUUAAUAUGAUCGGUAGGGGAGCAUUCCAGUCGGCGUCGAAGGCGUACCGCGAGGUAUUCUGGAGCGUCUGGAAAAGCAAANNNNNNNNNNGAAGUUGUCUACCGAAGCAGUGGGAUCAUUUAUAUGAUCGGUAGGGGAGCAUUCCAGUCAGCGUCGAAGGCGUACCGUGAGGUAUUCUGGAGCGUCUGGAAAAGCAAAUGUAGGUAUAAGUAACGAUAAAGGGGGCGGGAAACCCCCUCGCCGAAAGACUAAGGUUUCCUGAUCAACGCUAAUCGGAUCAGGGUCAGUCGGGUCCUAAGGCUCAGCCGAACGGCGAUGCCGAUGGCAGAAACGGUUAAUAUUCCGUUACUACCUUCAGGAGUGACGUGGAGACGCAGUAGUGACAGUGCCGCCAUCUGACGGAAUAGAUGGUUGAAGGGUGUAGGAGUCGAUCAUGGCAGGCAAAUCCACCAUGAGAUCCGAACCUGACAGUAUGCCGCGUCCUUCGGGACAAGGCAAUAGUGCGCGUAAGCAUGCUGCCGAGAAAAUCCGCUAAACUUAAUCCUGGAGGUACCCGUACCGCAAACGGACACACGUAGUCGGGAUGAAUAUUCUAAGGCGCUUGAGUGAUUCACGGUUAAGGAACUAGGCAAACUGACCCUGUAACUUCGGGAUAAAGGGUCCCUACCCUUUUAUGGGAGGGCGCAGAGAAUCGGUCCAGGCAACUGUUUAACAAAAACACAGGGCUGUGCCAAAUCGAAAGAUCCAGUAUACAGCCUGACACCUGCCCGGUGCUGGAAGGUUAAGAGGAGAUGUCAUCGAUAAGAGAAGCGUUGAAUUGAAGCCCCAGUAAACGGCGGCCGUAACUAUAACGGUCCUAAGGUAGCGAAAUUCCUUGUCGGGUAAGUUCCGACCUGCACGAAUGGUGUAAUGAUCUGGACGCUGUCUCAACCGUGAGCUCAGUGAAAUUGUAGUAUCGGUGAAGAUGCCGAUUACCCGCGAUGGGACGAAAAGACCCCGUGAACCUUUACUAUAGCUUAUCAUUGAAUCUGGGCACGUGAUGUGUAGGAUAGGUCGGAGGCUUUGAAGCAGGUACGCCAGUAUUUGUGGAGCCGCUGUUGAAAUACGACCCUUUAUUUGUUUGGAUUCUAACCCGUGGAACGGGGACAUUGAUUGGUGGGUAGUUUGACUGGGGUGGUCGCCUCCAAAAGCGUAACGGAGGCUUCUAAAGGUGCCCUCCGGCCGAUUGGUAACCGGCCUUAGAGUGUAAUGGCAUAAGGGCGCUUGACUGGGAGACUAACAAGUCGAUCAGGUAGGAAACUAGAGCAUAGUGAUCCGGUGUUUCCGUAUGGAAGGGACAUCGCUCAAAGGAUAAAAGGUACUCCGGGGAUAACAGGCUGAUCCCUCCCAAGAGCUCAUAUCGACGGAGUGGUUUGGCACCUCGAUGUCGGCUCGUCACAUCCUGGGGCUGGAGAAGGUCCCAAGGGUUGGGCUGUUCGCCCAUUAAAGUGGCACGCGAGCUGGGUUCAGAACGUCGUGAGACAGUUCGGUCUCUAUCUAUCGUGGGCGUAUGAAAUUUGCGUGGCUCUGACACUAGUACGAGAGGACCGUGUUGGACAGACCUCUGGUUUGCCGGUUGUGCCGCCAGGUGCAUUGCCGGGUAUCUAAGUCUGGAUCGGAUAAGUGCUGAAAGCAUCUAAGUACGAAGCCGGCCACAAGAUUAGAUUUCUCAGGGUCGUUGUAGACUACGACGUUGAUAGGAUGCAGGUGUAAAGGUAGAGAUACCAAAGCCGAGCAUUACUAAUUGCCCGUCCACUUUCUUUA